rnacentral:misc_RNA from 1 species
GUGAAUCAUCGAAUCUUUGAACGCAAAUUGCACUCUCUGCGGAUAGGAUGCCUGUUUGAGGGUCAGCCUAAAAAAAAUCGACAUAUUCGCUGUUUCUCUUUGACAUUCGUCGUGAAUUGGGUCAUUUUAUACCUUUGGGUUGUAAUCGGUUGAAAAUUUUCUUUUCGAUUCCACGAACUUUUCUAAUAUUUUCUUCUUACACGUUUAAUGUAAUUAAUCUUUUUUAGUCGUUGCAGUUUCAUC